AGUGAACGCUGGCGGUAGGCCUAACACAUGCAAGUCGAACGGCAGCACAGUAAGAGCUUGCUCUUACGGGUGGCGAGUGGCGGACGGGUGAGGAAUACAUCGGAAUCUACUUUUUCGUGGGGGAUAACGUAGGGAAACUUACGCUAAUACCGCAUACGACCUACGGGUGAAAGCAGGGGAUCUUCGGACCUUGCGCGAUUGAAUGAGCCGAUGUCGGAUUAGCUAGUUGGCGGGGUAAAGGCCCACCAAGGCGACGAUCCGUAGCUGGUCUGAGAGGAUGAUCAGCCACACUGGAACUGAGACACGGUCCAGACUCCUACGGGAGGCAGCAGUGGGGAAUAUUGGACAAAGGGCGCAAGCCUGAUCCAGCCAUACCGCGUGGGUGAAGAAGGCCUUCGGGUUGUAAAGCCCUUUAGUUGGGAAAGAAAAGCAGCAGGUUAAUACCCCGCUGUUCUGACGGUACCCAAAGAAUAAGCACCGGCUAACUUCGUG
rnacentral:rRNA from 1 species